AGCGAACGCUGGCGGCAGGCCUAACACAUGCAAGUCGAGCGCCGUAGCAAUACGGAGCGGCAGACGGGAGAGUAACACGUGGGAACGUACCCUUCAGUUCGGAACAACCCAGGGAAACUUGGGCUAAUACCGGAUACGUCCGUAAGGAGAAAGAUUUAUCGCUGAAGGAUCGGCCCGCGUCUGAUUAGCUAGUUGGUGGGGUAACGGCCCACCAAGGCGACGAUCAGUAGCUGGUCUGAGAGGCUGAUCAGCCACACUGGGACUGAGACACGGCCCAGACUCCUACGGGAGGCAGCAGGGGGGAAUCUUGGACAAUGGGCGCAAGCCUGAUCCAGCCAUGCCGCGUGAGUGAAGAAGGCCUUAGGGUUGUAAAGCUCUUUUGCCAGGGACGAUAAUGACGGUACCUGGAGAAUAAGCCCCGGCAAACUUCGUGCCAGCAGCCGCCGUAAUAC
rnacentral:rRNA from 1 species